rnacentral:misc_RNA from 1 species
AAGUCGUAACAAGGUUUCCGUAGGUGAACCUGCGGAAGGAUCAUUAACACGUAUCCAAACGUAAAAAACCCCCCCCGUGAACAUUCAAUCCUGCUCUUGUAACCCGCGUAGUUCGCAAUCUCUGGUAAAUCAUAGCCCGGAAAGUAGUUUUGAUUCAGAGACCUCUGGCUACGUGAGAACAUUGGAACAGUUACAAUCGAGCGGUAGUUUCAUAGGCAUUGUUUCCCCAAGCAGUCAGUGUCUGAAAGUGUCACUGAUUGUGCAAGGAUAGCGCUUCAACGAUUCCUGUAGACCGUACACUCGGGCAGGAGCUAUGCCAAAGGGUCCCCAUGCCCCCUCAUAACCAAUACAUUGGGUAAAAAAACCGAACAACUGUUAACAAUGGAUAUCUUGGUUCUC